rnacentral:rRNA from 1 species
GGCGAGUGAGAGGAAAGAGCUCAAAGUUGGAACCUGUUUGGCCUAGCUAAACCGGAUUGUAGACUGUAGAAGUGUUUUCCAGGCAAGCCGAGUAAAUAAGUCCUUUGGAACAGGGCAUCAUAGAGGGUGAGAAUCCCGUCUUUGGCUUGAGCAUUUGCCUUUUGUGAUACGCUUUCAAAGAGUCAGGUUGUUUGGGAAUGCAGCCUAAAUUGGGUGGUAAAUCUCACCUAAAGCUAAAUAUUGGCGAGAAACCGAUAGCGAACAAGUACCGUGAGGGAAAGAUGAAAAGAACUUUGAAAAGAGAGUUAAACAGUAUGUGAAAUUGUUAAAAGGGAACCGUUUGGAGCCAGACUGGCUUGUCUGUAAUCAAUCUAGGCUUCGGCCUGGAUGCACUUGCAGGCUAUGCCUGCCAACGACAAUUUGACUUGAGGGAAAAAACUAAGGGAAAUGUGGCCCACUUGUGGGUGUUAUAGUCCCUUAGAAAAUACCUUGGGUUGGAUUGAGGAACGCAGCGAAUGCUUUUUGGCGAGUUUUCCAGGAAGGUUUUCUGAGGUACUACGGUAUCAAGGUUGAUCUUUUUGGUUAUACUUCUAUUCGCUUAGGUUGUUGGCUNANUGACUCUAAAUGACCCNNNNNNANNNAACNGGACC